rnacentral:tRNA from 1 species
AGGGCUUUAGCUUAAUGAAAGCACCUGAGUUGCAUUCAGGAGAUGUGAGAUAAAGUCUUGCAAGUCUUA